rnacentral:rRNA from 1 species
UACGGGGGGGGCAAGCGUUGUUCGGAAUUACUGGGCGUAAAGGGCUCGUAGGUGGCCAACUAAGUCAGACGUGAAAUCCCUCAGCUUAACUGGGGAACUGCGUCUGAUACUGGAUGGCUUGAGUUUGGGAGAGGGAUGCGGAAUUCCAGGUGUAGCGGUGAAAUUCGUAGAUAUUCGGAGGAACACCAGUGGCGAAGGCGGCUCACUGGUCCAUUACUGACGCUGAGGUGCGAAAGCGUGGGAGCAACAGG